ACUCAAAGGAAUAGACGGGGGCCCGCACAAGCGGUGGAGCAUGUGGAUUAAUUCGAAGCAACGCGAAGAACCUUACCAAGGCUUGACAUCCCGAUGUAAGUUGUAGAAAUACAACCCCUCUUCGGAGCAUCGGUGACAGGUGGUGCACGGUUGUCGUCAGCUCGUGUCGUGAGAUGUUGGGUUAAGUCCCGCAACGAGCGCAACCCUUAUCUUUAGUAGCCAGCACUUCGGGUGGGCACUCUGGAGAGACUGCCGUGGAUAACACGGAGGAAGGUGGGGAUGACGUCAAAUCAUCAUGCCCUUUAUGCCUUGGGCUUCACACGUGCUACAAUGGCUCUUACAAAGCGAAGCAAACCGGUAACGGCAAGCAAAGCGCAAAAAAAGAGUCUCAGUUCGGAUUGGGGUCUGCAAUUCGACCCCAUGAAGUUGGAAUCGCUAGUAAUCGCGAAUCAGCAUGUCGCGGUGAAUACGUUCCCGGGCCUUGUACACACCGCCCGU
rnacentral:rRNA from 1 species